UGUAUGAGAAGCUUUAUUAUUCUAACAGAUUUUGUUUACAAGCAGAAAAUAUUGGUAAAUCUCAUAUAACAUAAGGAUGUAUCAAUAGUUCCAUAUGCUAUGCUUUAAUAGAGUUCUGUAAGGUUUCUAAAGAUGACUUAAGUCAGCGUCACUGAAAAUAAAGAGUCAGAAAUAACCUAAAAAAUGAGUGAUUCCAUAGAACAAAUAUAUUCAUUUUACAGAUGGGGAACUGUGACAUGAAGAAGUUAACUUACCUAAGAUCAGAGAAUGAGUCAAGGACAGAACAGGACCAUGUCAUCAAAUUUAGAGAAACUUGAACUAUGAGGUGCUCCAAAGGCCCAGAAUAUCCAUUGCCACCUAUUGAUGCAGGACAAGGGGCAGAGGUUCAAGAGGAAUGUGGGAACUGGAAAUGCCAGGGAAGACCAAAGUUGUCACAUCGGAUGAAGCCAGCAUGCCUGUCUUUAACUUCUAAUUCCUGUGGGAUGCCUGGGUGGAAAGGAAUCAAGAAGCUCAGUCCCCAAGCUGCUUAUGGAAUGUUGUAGAAAGCAGGUGUGGAAUUUUGUUCUUGUAAUUACUUUCCCUGCAAAUUCUUGUACCACUGUGUAAUCUGGUCUGGGGUUUGCCACUAACCCACUUUAUGACCUUGUGCCAGUUGUUACUCCUCUCUGUGCCUGUAUUCUCAUCUGUGCAAUAUAGGGACAUAAAUUUAUCCUUUUAGUGUUUUGCAUUUUUAUGUAAACUAUGCUUUGUUCUCAACUGAUAUCUUAUUAAAUACUCACUGAAAAUCCUGAAAAGUGGAUCCUAUACUUGUCAUUUUAUAGAUGAGAAAACUGUGAUUCAGAGAGACAAACUGAUUUGAGUCAAUGUCACAUGGCUAAUAAGAGAAGGAACAAGUUUCUAAAUCUAUGAGAUUCCAGAUGCAUCAUUCUACUCUUGUGAAAUACCCACAUUCACACUUGAGCUGUAUGUAUUUUUGUUUAUAAUGGAAAGAAUAUGAGGUUAGAAAUCUUGCUCCUGGAUUCAAAUUUAAACUCAUUUACCUGUACUGUUCUCCCAUCAUGGACAAAACUUUCUAAAUUUUUUGGCCUCUGCUUUCUUAAUUGUGCUAGAGAGAAUAAUAUCCCCUACUUGUAUCUAUGCUCUAAUACCUAUAUCUUGUGCAUAUAUUACCUUAAAUUGAAAAAAAGACUUGACCUAUGUGAUUAAGAUUGAAGACUUUAAAUGGAGUGAUUAUCCUGGCUUAUCUGGAUGGGCCCAGUCUAAUCACAUGAAUUUCUAAAAGUAAACAAGGAAGGCAGAAGAGUGGGUCAGAGAAACAGAAGGACAGAAGGAGAGUCAGGAGAGAUGGCAGUGUGAAAAGGCUUGACACCUUGUUGCUGAUUCUGAC
rnacentral:lncRNA from 1 species